CUUUCUUCAAGAAACGAAUGAUUCUCGCUUUGAUCGAUUUCGAAACCGGGUUGGUCUAUGGGCCACCGGAUGUUUCUUCUUCCAAAACCAUUCUUCACUUUUUCCGGUGGUUUCUCCAUUGCACAGAAACGGGAUUGAACAGAGAGAGAGUUUUAGUGGAAGGAGGUUGGAGGUUUGUAUUUUGACAUGAACGGUCUUCUUCGGACAUGGAUAUAAUUGGAGAAGAAAGGAGGGAUAAUGGUUUGGUUUGUUGUCUGUCUGAUUAUAGUGUUUUUGAGUUUGGUUUGUUGUCUGAUUCUAGUGUAGUGUUUUUGAGUUGGUGUGUUGUGUAUUAAUAGAGAAGCUAGCACCUUUCGUAACGGCUAUAUUUCUCUUAAAGGUUCGAGUCUGGUCUCGAUCGCCACAAAACGAGUCCGUUUCUCCUAACGGUAAUAAUGUUGGAAUCGAACCGGUCUUGCAACUACCUAAACCGGUCUUGCAAGUUCUUCUCGAAGAUGGUGCCUUAGCGGUACUAACUGAUGAAGAAGAAAGACGAUAUGACUGCAGGGCUACAACUGUAGAGCUAGACGCCAUGUGCGUGAGCUGGUUAUGUGAAAUUGAAACUUAACAACAUGGUUCUUGUUGAUGUUUCUUCACUAGUGUUUCUCAAGAAAAUUGAUUUUAUGUUUGUGUAAUUCAACUGAAAGAACUAGCAAUGAUGAAGUUGGGGGUUGUCAUAGAUGUCUCCUUCUUUGGUGAUUAUACUGGUGGGUUUGAGAAUGAAAUGCCUUAACAUUGUGAAGGCACAUAAUUGACUAUUGGUAUAUACUCAUUCUGGGUUCUAUAAAAUCAGUCAAGGAUCUCUGUUUAUGUUUAUGUGUA